UACGUAGGGUGCGAGCGUUGUCCGGAAUUACUGGGCGUAAAGAGCUCGUAGGUGGUUUGUCGCGUUGUCCGUGAAAACUCACAGCUUAACUGUGGGCGUGCGGGCGAUACGGGCAGACUGGAGUACUGCAGGGGAGACUGGAAUUCCUGGUGUAGCGGUGGAAUGCGCAGAUAUCAGGAGGAACACCGGUGGCGAAGGCGGGUCUCGUGGGCAGUAACUGACGCUGGAGGAGCGAAAGCCGUGGGGAGCGAACAGG
rnacentral:rRNA from 1 species